AACAUCCGAAAUUAUUUCUACUAUUAUUACUUUCUUAAACCAAAUAUACAUCAUAUAACAAACCACGGCUUCACCAUAGAGCUUUACAAGAUCUGAGCUCAGGGGAUAUCUUCGUCUAAGAAGAUCAAAAUAAAAUAAGCAUAGGAAAUAUCGAAAAGCUUGCUGGUGCGAGAGGUUACCGGCGUCCCAUUUUCAGCUGGUCAGCACCCAUCACCAACAUACUGGCCUCAUCGUCUUCAUCAUCGGAAAUUUCAAUAAUCUUCUUAACUCAUAAUUGUUUUUUUUCCCCAACAGACUCGAUGAACUGUUAUUUAGACCAGGUGAAAUCUUAAUGUUAUAAACUUGUGCAUCGAUCAAUUCUCUAGAUUUGAUAUUGCCCCGAAAGUAUUUAUCGAAAUUCUAUGCUCGUUAAAUUUUAUGAGCGAUUUAUUUCGAAUUUUCUGCGAAAUGAGAACUCAAUGAAGUGUGUAGCAUCGUGGCAAGAAAUGG
rnacentral:lncRNA from 1 species